AGAGAUGUAGAGAAGUUGAAGAAUCACUAGAAGAGAAUGAUACAUGAAAACAAGGGAACUUGCUUGCUUUGAUUAUUUGCUUCUGGGAGUGUAGUUUAAUCUUCAUAUGGAAAUGGGUGUCUCUAACUAUCUGGGUUUUUUAUUUCUUAUAGUGCUGAUUGUUGCUCAGUGAGUGUGUAUCUGGUUUGAUUCUUCUAUCCGAGUUCAGUUGAGAAGGCGCAUUUGAGGCAUGCUUCUGCAAAGGCGGUUCUUCGUCUCUCCAAGCACUGGAAUCAUAAGAUACCUGUUGAUAUCUUCUACUUAACCUUGAAGACUUCGGAGAUUUUUACAUAAUGUCUCAAUCUCAAAGUCAAAGUGCCCCUAGCAGUACUAAUGUAGCAUCAUCUACGGCUACAUCACCAUGUCCUCCACAACCAACACAAGCACAACCCGUACAACCAUCAAUGCCUCCCCCAAACCCCUCGUCCUCUAGAAAAAGAAAAGCACCACCUAUUCCAAAGACAAAACAACCAACUAUAAUAGCUUCACUAGGGAGAUCUUCUUCUGAGAGAUCUUGGGUUUGGGAUCAUUUCACUAAGUGUACCGUCUCGGAAAUGCAAGAAGUAGAAAAGGAUGGAAAGAAAGAGAAGGUGGAGGUACAAGUAUU